rnacentral:tRNA from 1 species
ACUGAAGUGACAGAUUUAUGUGAUAGCUUUAAAGCCUAUUUAUGGUAAUACCCUUCAGAA